UUUCGCCAACUGCUCUUUCAAUUUCAUUUGAAAAGAACUUAAAAAAUUUGAUUGAACGGUGAAAAUGUUUUGCAAGCAGCCUUUGAUUUAAAUUGCUGAUUGAACGAUGUUAAAGGACCAUUUUGCGAGAUUGGGACGUGGAUUUCAUAGCAGAUUGACCAGAUUUGCCAUGUUUGAAGAUUCUGUAAAUAGUUUCGCGCAUGCCUUGAACCGCUUUACCGCGUACGCGGGAAUUGAGAGGAGAUCGAGGAGUUCACAACGUGUGUAAAUACUAAAACAAUUUUCCUUAACAAUCUUGGUGUAUAGCCAUUAUUCACGUCAAACAAUGAUUGUUAAUUACUUUUUGAAAUAAGUUUUCUCAAAAAGAACAACUUUUGUUGUUGGAUCGGAGUAUAAAUUGCAUGGAACUGUGAGAAGUUUCGCGCCUUUUUUCUGCGAGAGACUGGGAUUAAAAGGGAUGGCCGCUAAGUUGGAGUGGUGUUUUAAAGAUGGCUGCCAAAAGGUCGGCCGAGUUUCUGACAGCAGCAGUGUCUUGGAGGUGUUAGGAAACUGGCGAACUUUUCCUGAGAAUAUCGUAGGAGGUGACAUUCUUUUUAUGUUCAGUUCAUUUCCUUGUGAAAUGCGACUAUAAGAAGGAGUCUUCUUGUCUUAAAAUGGCAGAUAGGGUUUCAGGCGAAUUCGUCCGAGAAUUCUGUAUCUGACAGUGGUAAGGCACAGGUUUCUGUACAGAAUUUACGUGUUUGACCGCUUAGUUGAUGGCUGGCUUGCGUUCAUCAUCUGGGAAAGGCAUUAUGUGACACUUGCCAUGCUGAGAGUUGUCCUGGUUAGGCAAGCCAAAGUGUCUACAUGAAGAACAGAGUUCCCGCUUGCCAGGGUUACCCUACCUGCCUAGGCGAGACAACUCGCCCACCCAAGUUGUCUCACCCCUGAGAGGGGUUCAUGAUUCUUAUGUGUGGGUCUUCAAAGACACAGAAACCUUUACAGAUAUUGAAAGAAAGGAUACAUUAUCUAGAUGGUGGUUUCCUUGCAAAAUCUCAAAUUUCAAUGGUAAGCAUUUAACAAGGUUCAUUAAUCUGAGUAUGUUACUGUAGACUGAGUAAAGAAAAAAGUGAAAAAAAGAGCAGUAUUAAGUUGUAAUGUUGAAUUAAUGGGCAGUUGCACAGAUUAUUUUCAUAAGUGGUGAGAGAAAUUCUUGGUAAACUAUGUUGCAGUGUUGGACAUAAUCACUUGCCCACUCACCCAUGCGAGUGUGAAUAGGUUCGAUUACUGGCCACUGUUCAAAUCAAAGUGACUAUGAACCACUCAACUUGGAAAAUGGAUCGUCUGUAAACAGUGACAAU